rnacentral:lncRNA from 1 species
CAAGGAUGUCUUAUUGUAGAAUAGAUAUUAAUUCGUUUUUGAAAGAUAUUGGUAAAAUAUAUUAAUAGUCCAUAUAAUAGGAAAUUCAAGAGGACAGAUGAGUGAUUUAGUUAUUAAAAGUGAUUAAUUAUAAAAUUACGGUUGAAAUCUAGAGAAUCAAUAGAAAGUAUAUAGGAGUUGUAGAAGUUAAUUAAGGUGCCAUCGCUGUGAUAGUGUGAGCCGGGGUAAGUUUGGUGCUACUUCUUUUCUUUUGUUUGUUAUUUUCUUUGAAUAAGAGGAUUGAGAGUUUCUGAAUAUUGUGAAGUGAAUUAUGGAAUGGAAAUGUGAUUGGUAUUAUUUGAGAAGAAGAAAGAUUGAAUGCUGAAAUCUGAUUGUAGUUCAGCAGAGAGAAUGAGUCUGUAUUUGUGUGAAACACCGUAAGGUGAAUGGCAAUUCUAUGUGAAGAAUUUCAGUGAUUGGAAUGAGGGUAAUUGUGUGCUGAAAGCUAUGAAGGCAUAGUAUUAUAGUUGGAGAUUAUGAGGGUGAAUAUAUUGGUGGAAAUAGCAAUUAUUGAUAUGAUUGAAUU